UUUUACUAUUACUAAUGUAAAUAACAUAGUUGCCAUAUCUAUUACAAACUAUCAUGACAAAAAAAGUCAUGAAAUAUCUAUACCUAUUAUUGAUGGCAUAACUGGCCAAAAGUUAUCACUGUUUACUAAUAAAUUCUAUGCCAUUGAAAAUGAAAGAACCGGUCACUAUCUGGUAUGGUAUGACAACUACCGAUUUACCGGUACAACCAAUCGGUCAUUGGAUGUCGAGUCGGACAAAAUGUGGCAUAAAUUUACAAAACAAUCAAACGGCUGGUAUCUAAUGAAACAUAAUUUUGGCUCACAUUUGAUUAGGUUGUCCAAAGUGGCCGACAAACCUGACACCGAUGACGGUGGUUAUUAUCAUAUUUAUAAUAAAAACUGUGCAAACGGUACCGUUCCCAAUGAGGAAUCACUAUUUAGAAAUUUAAUCAACUGUGCCAACUAUAAGCCUGAAAACAUUGGGUUUAAUUGGAAAUUUAUAGGCCUAGACAACUAUCUAGAUA